rnacentral:rRNA from 1 species
UCUGCAUUCCAGUGAAAAUGCCCUAACAUCUUCCAACAAGUAAAAGGAGCAGGUAUCAGGCACACUAGACGUAGCCCAAGACGCCUUGCCCAGCCACACCCCCACGGGUACUCAGCAGUAAUUAACCUUAAGCAAUAAGUGUAAACUUGACUUAGCCAUAGCAAUUCCCAGGGCUGGUAAAUCUUGUGCCAGCCACCGCGGUCAUACAAGAAGCCCGAAUCAAUAGUCACCCGGCGUAAAGAGUGGCCAUAUGUUAUCUAUACCAACUAAGACCGAGAUGCAACUGAGCUGUCAUAAGCCCAAGAUCCACUUAAGCCCAACCUAAACCGUCUUAGCCUCAUGACAAAUUUGAACCCACGAAAGCCGGGGCACAAACUGGGAUUAGAUACCCCACUAUGCCCGGCCCUAAAUCCAGAUAUCUAUAUACCCACAUAUCCGCCUGAGAACUACGAGCACAAACGCUUAAAACUCUAAGGACUUGGCGGUGCCCCAAACCCACCUAGAGGAGCCUGUUCUAUAACCGAUAAUCCACGAUCCACCUAACCACCCCUUGCCAAUAUCAGCCUACAUACCGCCGUCGCCAGCCCACCUAAAGUGAAAGAUCAAUAGUGAGCUCAACAGCCCCCGCUAACAAGACAGGUCAAGGUAUAGCCUAUGGGAUGGAAGAAAUGGGCUACAUUUUCUAAUAUAGAACAAACGAAAAAGGACGUGAAACUCGCCCUUAGAAGGAGGAUUUAGCAGUAAAGUGAGACCAUGCCCUCUGAGCUCACUUUAAGACGGCUCUGGAGCACGUACAUACCGCCCGUCACCCUCUU